GUCUACGACCAUACCACCUUGAACAAGCCCGAUCUUGUCUCAUCUCGGAAGCUAAGCAGGGUUGGGCCUAGUUAGUACUUGGAUGGGAGAACACCUAGGAAGACCAGGUGCUGUAGGCG
rnacentral:rRNA from 1 species